GACGUAGGGGGCGAGCGUUGUCUGGAUUCAUUGGGCGUAAAGCGCGCGUAGGCGGCCCGGUAAGUCGGAUGUGAAAUCUCACGGCUCAACCGUGGAACUGCAUUCGAUACUGUCGGGCUAGAGGCAGGUAGGGGAGAUCGGAAUUCCCGGUGUAGCGGUGAAAUGCGCAGAUAUCGGGAGGAACACCGGUGGCGAAGGCGGAUCUCUGGGCCUGUCCUGACGCUCAGGCGCGAAAGCUAGGGGAGCAAACAGG
rnacentral:rRNA from 1 species